rnacentral:rRNA from 1 species
UGGAAAGUUCACACUGUGACGGUAUCUUACCAGAAAGGGACGGCUAACUACGUGCCAGCAGCGCCGGUUAUACGUAGGUCCCGAGCGUUGUCCGGAUUUAUUGGGCGUAAAGCGAGCGCAGGCGGUUAGAUAAGUCUGAAGUUAAAGGCUGUGGCUUAACCAUAUACGCUUUGGAAACUGUUUAACUUGAGGGCAAGAGGGGAGAGUGGAAACACAUGUGUAGCGGUGAAAUGCGUAGAUAUAUGGAGGAACACCGGUGGCGAAAGCGGCUCUCUGGCUUGUAACUGACGCUGAGCUCGAAAGCGUGGG